AUUGAACGCUGGCGGCAGGCCUAAUACAUGCAAGUCGAGCGGAGCGUCGGACGGGGGAUUACUGCCGAGGAAUCUGCCCGGUAGUGGGGGAUCACGUCCGGAGACGGGCGCCUUUACCGCAUACUUUCAGAUGACCCUAGGUCGGAUUAGCUAGUUGGUGGGGUAAAGGCUUACCAAGGUGACGAUCCGUAACUGGUCUGAGAGGAUGAUCAGUCACACUGGAACUGAGACACGGCCCAGACUCCUACGGGAGGCAGCAGUGGGGAAUAUUGGACAAUGGGCGAAAGCCUGAUCCAGCAAUGCCGCGUGUGUGAAGAAGGUCUUCGGAUUGUAAAGCACUGUAAGUAGGGAGGCGUUACCCGCAGAAGAAGCACCGGCUAACUCCGUGCCAGCCGCCGCGGUAAUAC
rnacentral:rRNA from 1 species